UAAUACGGGGGGAGCGAACGUUGUUCGGAAUCACUGGGCGUAAAGGGCGUGCAGGCGGCUCGAUAAGUGGAAGGUGAAAUGCCCUGGCUCAACCAGGGAACUGCCUUCCAUACUGUCGAGCUUGAGUGCGGGAGAGGAUGGGAGAAUUCCCGGUGUAGCGGUGGAAUGCAUUGAUAUCGGGAGGAAUACCAGUGGCGAAGGCGCCCAUCUGGCCCGACACUGACGCUCAGGCGCGAAAGCUAGGGGAGCAAACAGGAUUAGAUACCCUGGUAGUCCUAGCUGUAAACGGUGGGCACUAGGUGUAGGAGGCAUCGACCCCUCCUGUGCCGUAGCUAACGCAUUAAGUGCCCCGCCUGGGGAGUACGACCGCAAGGUUG
rnacentral:rRNA from 1 species